AGUCAAUAGAUACCCUGGUAGUCCAUGCCGUAAACGAUGAUUGCUAGGUGUGGGGGGUCUGACCCCUUCCGUGCCGGAGUUAAACACAAUAAGCAAUCCACCUGGGGAGUACGGCCGCAAGGUUGAAACUCAAAGGAAUUGACGGGGGCCCGCACAAGCAGUGGAGUAUGUGGUUUAAAUUCGAAGCAACGCGAAGAACCUUACCAGGUCUUGACAUCCACCGAAUCCUGUAGAGAUACGGGAGUGCCCUUCGGGGAACGGUGAGACAGGUGGUGCAUGGUUGUCGUCAGCUCGUGUCGUGAGAUGUUGGGUUAAGUCCCGCAACGAGCGCAACCCUUGUGAAUAGUUGCUACGAAAGAGCACUCUAUUCAGACCGCCGUUGACAAAACGGAGGAAGGUGGGGAUGACGUCAAAUCAUCAUGCCCCUUAUGACCUGGGCUACACACGUACUACAAUGGUCGUCAACAGAGGGAAGCAAGACCGCGAGGUGGAGCGAACCCCUAAAAACCGAUCUCAGUUCAGAUUAGCAGGCUGAAACUCG
rnacentral:rRNA from 1 species